GCCUGGCUAGCUCAAUCGGUAGAGCACCAGACUCUUAAUCUGGGGGCUACGGGUUCGAGUCCCGUGCUGGGUG
rnacentral:tRNA from 1 species